GACGAACGCUGGCGGCGUGCUUAACACAUGCAAGUCGAACGGAAAGGCCCUGCUUUUGUGGGGUGCUCGAGUGGCGAACGGGUGAGUAACACGUGAGUAACCUGCCCUUGACUUUGGGAUAACUUCAGGAAACUGGGGCUAAUACCGGAUAGGAGCUCCUGCUGCAUGGUGGGGGUUGGAAAGUUUCGGCGGUUGGGGAUGGACUCGCGGCUUAUCAGCUUGUUGGUGGGGUAGUGGCUUACCAAGGCUUUGACGGGUAGCCGGCCUGAGAGGGUGACCGGACACAUUGGGACUGGAAUACGGCCCGGACUCCUACGGGAGGCAGCAGUGGGGAAUAUUGCACAAUGGGCGGAAGCCUGAUGCAGCAAAGCCGCGUGCGGGAUGACGGCCUUCGGGUUGUAAACCGCUUUCGCCUGUGACGAAGCGUGAGUGACGGUAAUGGGUAAAGAAGCACCGGCUAACUACGUG
rnacentral:rRNA from 1 species